AAAUUUUAAUAAUUGCAGUAUUUUCACUUUCACUUUGUUUCAAGAGACAAGAGUUACUAUCCAUGUUCUAAGGAAGAAUGGAAGAGUAAUCUCAUCUUGAAGAAUGGAAGAUUGAAUUCUACAAAAUACAU